ACCGUAAAAGUGAAGAAAUUUUAGUUUUAANUUAAGAAAUNNNUUUAGANNNGGAAAAGAGGGAUUUUUUCANAAAGGUAAAAUUUUGAAAAAAAAUAGUUUUUCGNUAANUUAAAAAUUUUGGAAAUUCAGAAGUGAAACUAGGAUUAGAUACCCUAUUAUUAUUGAGAAAAAAAUGAUNUAGGUAGUAAUAGAAGCCUUGAAACUUAAAGAAUUUGGCGGUAUUUUAAUCUAAUCGGAGGAACUUGCGUUUUAACUCGAAAUUACACGUUUUAUCUUACUUAAAUUUANGUUUGUAUAUCGUCGUAAAAAUAAAGCUUUGAAGUGGAUAUUUAGUCUUAUUAAANUAAGAAAUUACAGAUCAAGGUUCAGCUNAUAUUUAAGNAUUACGUGAGUUACAAUAUUUUUAAAAGUAGAUGGAUAUUUUUCUNNGAAAGGNGAAAUUUGAAGGUGGAUUCGAAAGU
rnacentral:rRNA from 1 species